CCUACGUGAGGCAGCAGUGGGGAAUAUUGCGCAAUGGGCGAAAGCCUGACGCAGCGACGCCGCGUGAGGGAUGAAGGUCUUCGGAUCGUAAACCUCUGUCAGCAGGGAAGAACGGUCACUGUGCUAAUCAGCAGUGAAUUGACGGUACCUGCAAAGGAAGCACCGGCUAACUCCGUGCCAGCAGCCGCGGUAAUACGGAGGGUGCGAGCGUUAAUCGGAAUUACUGGGCGUAAAGCGCUCGUAGGCGGUAUGUCAAGUCAAGGGUGAAAUCCCCGCGCUCAACGUGGGAACUGCCUUUGAAACUGGCAAACUGGAGUAUGUGAGAGGAUAGUGGAAUUCCAGGUGUAGGAGUGAAAUCCGUAGACAUCUGGAGGAACAUCAGUGGCGAAGGCGACUAUCUGGCACAUAACUGACGCUGAGGAGCGAAAGCGUGGGUAGCAAACAGGAUUAGAUACCCGGGUAGUC
rnacentral:rRNA from 1 species